GCGCAGCAGGCGCGAAUACUUUACAAUGUGCGAAAGCACGAUAAGGGAACUCUGAGUGCCUCCUAAGGAGGCUGUUCAGGUGUCUAAAAGCACCUGGAGUAAGGGCUGGGUAAGACCGGUGCCAGCCGCCGCGGUAACACCGGCAGCCCAGGUGGUAGCCACUUUUAUUGGGUCUAAAGCGUCCGUAGCCGGUUGAGUAAGUUCCUUGGGAAAUUUGGCUGCUCAACAGUCAAGCUUCCAGGGAAUACUGCUCGACUUGGGACUGGGAGAGGUCAGAGGUACUCCAGGGGUAGGGUGAAAAUCCAUUAAUCCCUGGGGGACCACCGGUAGCGAAGGCGUCUGACCAGACCAGGUCCGACGGUGAGGGACGAAGGCUAGGGGCGCGAACCGGAUUAGAUA
rnacentral:rRNA from 1 species